GGCAGCCACAGAGACACGAAAAGCUCCGGCUCCCCUGCCGCCGGCCAUGUCGGCCGGUCGCCGUCGCCGCCCGCCCGGGCCCUUCUUCUCUGCUCCGCCUCCCAACUCUUAAUUUGAAAACCCGAGCUUAAACAGCCGACGACGACGUGGCGGACGCAGCGGUGUUCCGUCGAACACCCGGUUAGAUUGAAGCGCAAACCCGCGAAAUUACGCCGAGGGAAUUGGAACUGUUGUCACUUACAUCCUGUUGAAUCUAUCAGAACACCAUUUUGGUCGGCCAGCGCCGAGCCAUUGACUGGUUGUGGUUGCCUGGUCGGUCGUCAGUUAAGCAGGUAGUGCAUCAGCUAAAUAUUUUCAGUUCUGAUCACGGAACUUUAACUAUUUGCAGUUGCUUCAGUGAUAUGCAUAAUUGCUUCCAAUGGCAGGAUGGACGAACUUAAACUACUCUCUUUUAUAGUGGUGACAUUUACCUUGCUUGAUCUGACCUGAGCACUAUCUGUUAGGUUCUGACUGUCAGGUAUAUUGCAGUUUUCCGUGUGCUUUUCUAGGCAACUAAUCCAAAUGGUAGUCCACAACAAUUGUAGUACAAUGACUGAAUGCUAGUGCAGGAGUUCGACAUUGCUGUUGAUAUCUAAGUGGGUACAAUGAUUGUUUUUCGUGGAGUUAGACCACAUGCAGUCAUACAGGCACACUGCAGAGCACUGAUAUGACAGACUACUUUUUUAUGACUUCGUCUGUCUAGAUAAGCCGUAAUCGAACGCACUUCAAAACACUCAUGACAUAUAGCCAUCAGCAUGCGUGAUUACAGUACCCUUUUUCUGUUUAUUACCCCUUUUAGCUGCUGCUGGAAAGGAUAAGGUGAAUCAGGCCUUCCAUUGGCCAGUUCAAUGCUGUCAAUCACCAAUAGUAUUUAUGGCCCGGGCUACCUUUUUGGUACCCCAUCAAUUUUAGGUUUCUUGACAAGGACUGGUUUUUGCCAAUUGAUGUCAUGUUCCGGAAGGACCACUACCUCCUUUAAGAUACAUUGUAGUGCAUAGUAAAAAACAAAAAUGAAAUGCUAUUUCUGUUUUUGUGCUUAGUUUCAGACUUUGUCUGCAAAGUUGAGACUUAAUAUAUUGUUAAUGUUACAUACUUGAUGCAACUCUGCUACUAUCCAUAUGGAAUGCUGAAGGUAAGAGAUAAGAAGCUGUCAAAGAAUGAAGAUAACCAUGCUAGUACCUUUUUUUCCCUUCUGAUUAUUUACAUUAUGAUCGCCAUGAAGGUGUUUCUCCACAAGGCGCACCAGGGUUAAUCUUACAUACAAUGUGGUAAAAGCAAGCAUGCAUUUAAAAGUAGGUUCAGUAAGAUGAUUUGUUGAUAUUACACUAGUUUUAAGUUCAACAGAUCUUUUUCUUGAUCUGAAUAUAAUUUCUUUAGUGUCUGUGGUAUAUUAUUUAUUACCAGAAGAUUUUACAAGCACAUUCUCAAGAUUUUGCAAGGAGUUGUGGAAAUGGGAGGGGCAAAAAGGGUGGGAAGUCUAAAUAAAGAGCAUUCCAAUGCCCUUCAUUUUUUCCAGAAUAAUAUGAUUUUAUGAAAACAAUGCAUUAUUAGGCAAUUCAGUAUGUAGAAAAAAAUUAAGAUGCAGAUGAUUCUACUUUUUCCUUGAUAUGGAUGUUAGUGUGUCUGAUGUUUUCUCUCACUUUUAGAUGAUAAUCCUAGAUUGAAAAUCGAUAAAGGUGACUAUUGUUAGUGUUUGUAGCUUAUGUUGGUGUGGUAUAGCUUGCAAGGGUGACAUACUAAUGCUGAUGAUGUAUCUAUUGAGAUGGAACGUCCAGAUUGAUUUGGACGGGCACUGAGCAAUACUAUAGCAUGAUCUGUUUGAAAGAACAACAUAUCAAAGUAACUACCGUAAUGGAGACAGUCAUAAUCAGAAUGGACAAGCUUUAACUAUAUUAUUAUUGGACUUGCAGACAUAAGUGAGACUCAAACAUAGCUUCCAGUUUUAUUUGUUUUUUCAAGUUUGCAUUGAAUGCUUCAUCUAUUGGAUUGAUUGUGCGGUCACAUCCCACUAAUGGGCAUUUUUAUGAUACUUUGUUACUUCCUGGUUAAGUUGUAUUUUAAUCCUAAGAUUCAAAAUGUGCUUAGGCUUUGAGAUUUGUAGAUCUAUCUGGUGCUUUUUUAGAUGCUAUUUGAUCCAAUUGUCUUUUGUCUCUCUUUCUCACUAUCUGUCUCUAGUUGCUACCUGUUUCAGUUCUGAAAACUCUAUCUUUAUGUUUUAUAGCUGUUCUGCCAGAAGGUGAUGCAUGUGCUUCUGUAUAUGCUUCAUGAGAAUGUUUCGUGUCACCAGUUUUAAUCCCUUCAGUAGGCCUGAUUGUGUAGUCUCGACGCAGUUGUUUCUGGUCAAAUGGACUCAUGCUACUGGAGUGAUAAAUUAAUUUAGCAAGUUUUCAAUAAUUGAUCACACGAAAAAUAUCACCGUCUUAAGUGAAAAUACUGUAGAAUGGCUUAAUAUACUUAAGAGGCAAAUGAUAUUUCAGCAAGAAAAACAUCAAGAUUCAUAUAUUACUUGUUAAGUGCUGACUGUUUUGCAUGAAUGUAGGGUAUUUUCCUUGAUGAAAUAUGAUUCAUACAGUUAUGUGCAUGUAGGUGUAAUUUAGAUCUUGAACAGCUUUAUUUGUUCCUCAUCAUAACAAAAAGUUGCUGCCUUUUUCUAUUAUCAUCAGUUAACACAGUACUCAGCAUGUGUCGUACUUGAUAGUGCUCAGUUGAGCAUUCUUCUUUGCACAGGGUCUUUGUGGUGUAACAACUGAUGGAGCUGAUAUAAUCAUCAAAUAGUUGCUUCCAGAUAGCAUCAAAGAUAAGGGUUGUAGUUCUUCGUCAUCUCAAGGCAGAAGAGAACUCUUCCAUCCGAUUCGAACUGGCUAGCCCACACUGGAUCCUGAGGGUUAAACGAUGAUCUCCAGUUGUUCAGGAUACCCGUCCUGUUGAUGGUGA